UCGGAUUUACUGGGCGUAAAGGGCGCGCAGGCGGGCGCCGGAAGUCUUGGGUGAAAGCUCCCGGCUCAACCGGGAGAGUGCCUGAGAAACCACGGUGCUCGAGUGCCGGAGAGGGAAGCGGAAUUCCUGGUGUAGCGGUGAAAUGCGUAGAUAUCAGGAGGAACACCGGGGGCGAAGGCGGCUUCCUGGACGGACACUGACGCUGAGGCGCGAAAGCUAGGGGAGCAAACAGGAUUAGAUACCCUGGUAGUCCUAGCCGUAAACGAUGGGUACUUGGUGUGGGGGGGUAUCGAGUCCCUCCGUGCCGGCGAUAACUCGUUAAGUACCCCGCCUGGGGAGUACGGUCGCAAGGCUGAAAACUCAAAGGAAUUGGCGGGGACCCGCACAAGGGGUUGGAAGCAUGUGGUUUAUUUCGACGCAACGCGAAGAAACCUGACCGGGGGUUUGAACGGCUGCGGCGAAUUCCCAGAGAUGGGGAAGUUCCCUUAGGGGGACCGCAGAAAGAAGGUUGCUGCAUGGCUGUCGUCAGCUCGUGUCGUGAGAAUGUUUGGGUUAAAGUCCCCGCAACGAGCGCAACCCCUUGUCUUGUAGUUGCCAUCAGGUCAAGCUGGGCACCCUACGGAGACUGUCGGCGAAAAGCCGGAGGAAGGUGGGGAUGACGUCAAGUCCUCAUGGCCUUUAUGUCCCGGGCUACACACGUGCUACAAUGGGCGGUACAAUGGGCAGCCAACCGGCGACGGUGAGCGAAUCCCAAAAAGCCGCUCUCAGUUCGGAUUGCAGUCUGCAACUCGACUGCAUGAAGUCGGAAUCGCUAGUAAUCGCGGAUCA
rnacentral:rRNA from 1 species